UUCUGUAUACCUGAGGUCUUAUGAAGCCUGGGACUUUGCUGCUCUGCUGUCAUUGAGGUGCUCUCCAUUGCAUCACACAAGGAUAUUGCAGGGAGCAAAGAUGGCUGCUCAGAGCCCCUGAAAAGAGCCACCACCAUCUUGAUGCUGCUCAGCACAGUGUGCCUCCUGCAGACAGAGAGCCAAACCAGUUCUCUGCUGCCAGCUAGAGAAAAGACUGGCUCCCAAUGAAGAUGAUUAGGCCAACCCUGUAAUCAGCAGGGUACCUGACUGAGGGACAGCUCUUGCUACUCCUCACCACUGACAGGUUUUUCCAUGGCAGCAGCACACAUGGACUGCAGUUGGUGACCUGAGGCAGGGCUCCAGUGCCUGGCUGCCUUCAGACAAAGCUCUCUGCUGGCACUGCACUCUCUGGGAAGGACCGAAGAUGCUCUCCCAUCAAGGAGCAGAGCUGUGUGGUGCCUGGUGCCAUGAUCUGCACUCGUGCUGUGCUGCUACACAGGCAUUCACACAAGAAGGCCUUGCAGAACACCCUAUGUGCACAUGUGUGUGCUGGCGGUCUGUGGAAAAAGGAUGAGAUUUGAUACCAAUUCCCUUAAUUUAUUCACACCAAAUGUCAGUGUGGUGUCAUAUAAAAAUCUUUAAUGAUUUUAAAACAAAUGGUCCUUGAGGCAGGAAAAUAGUUAUAGUGCCGUUUCUAAAAUUAAUUUAAUGCCUUUGGAAUAGAAAUAAAAAUGAAUGCCUGCUCAGCUGCGUGUGCACCUCAAAAAGCAUCUGUCUGUACCUGAGGACCCUCCGGCUGCCCCGGGCUUCCUGGCUAC